rnacentral:lncRNA from 1 species
GUGGGCUCUGGCCUAAGACAAUUAAAAAUCUGGAACAUGAAUUACGACCUGGAGCAUUCUGGAAAUGGGACACCUUCUUCUUUCGGAACUGAAACAGGACCACUCUAAACCCUGAAGUGCAGAAACUCAUGUUCUGUCCUGUAUAAACAACUGUGGUACCUGAAGAAGUUCCCCUACUCAUAGAAACAAGGCUGAAGACGCUCAGCAGAGCAAGAGCAUCCCACAAGCAAAGUGGAGAUGUGUGCUCUGAUUAAAAGCUCAUCGAAGCUAAUGGCGUAACUCCAGUUGACUUUAUGAGCAUUCAGAUGAUUUCUGGUGAAAAUCAUCAGUUUUCCAUCAAAAUUGUUUGCUGAAGUUUCUUCCUGGUAACUUUAUUAAAGAAUUAAGAAAAUGAAUCAAGUACUCAGGAUCACAGUGUAAAUAAGACAACCAGUCUAUGGGAGUGGAAUGGCACACAAGGUAAAUGCUUUCAUUGUUCACAUUUGCUGCCAAAUUCCAAAUGGCAGUAGGCCUUGACAGCGCUGAUGGUCUCUCGUGCCUGGACUUGUAACAAAUCUUUUAACUUCAUCAGUUCUUCAGGAAAGAGAAAGCCUUUUUAGUUCUUUGAAAAUAUGAUUAGAAUGCACACAAGAGGUCCUCUGUAUGCUUAUAAAAGCU